CAAGAAAAAAUAACCCACUUUUUUCUUAAGUUUAAAUCAGAGCAGGAAUUUAUAACAUGAGUGUACAGUGUACACACAUGAAAGACAAAUUAAGAGAUCCUGGCCUAGUGACAUAAUAACAACAUUUAACACUAGAAGGCAGACGACGGAAAAAUGAAUGCGUUAUGCAACCGCGGCACACACCAUUCAUAAACAGCUAACGGCAGCCCUGGACCCUCCGAGAAGCACAGGGCUGAGCCCCCUGCCAGCACCCCACAGCCCUGAUGGUUAAAUCACACACGUGCUCCUACCAUCUGCACUGAGCUGCGGAAUAGGAAGUCGGGUGUCACUCCAGCAGAGAAACAGAAAAUCCCUUCUUUGAGACACCCUUUGCUUUCUACAACAUAAUUAUCUCAGAAGCGUCUCACACCACAAGAGCUUCAGAAGAAGGCUAAAUUAAAUGCCACGAUAAUUCUUGCGCAUACACCCAAACGUCCUUCCUAAGAUCUUUCAGAGCCUGGCUGAAGGACAAAUGUGCUCCUGUUUUGUUGAGGCUGUCAGGCAGACAGUCUUCCGUCAUUAGCCUUUUGUCAACAGCGAUGCUGGGGUAGAUUACGAGCGCAGAGCCUGUCGUGGCAGGUGCAUGGCCCUGGGGCUGCCAUCUGCCAGGAAGGAAGUGUUCUCCUCUAGGAUGCUGAAGAGAUUGACAAAAUGUAAACAAAACACUGAAUCACUACUAAUCUAUGGAAUCGGGCUGCUACGUCCUUCUUCCGCAACGUAGAUGUUAAGAUCAGAGGAGGGGCUUAGGUCUGGCGUUUGGGUUUUUCUGUCUGUUUUGCACUGUGUGUACAAAACAUUAUUUUGUAAUUAUUUUCCUACACCUAUGCAUAACGUGGGGCUGCCACUGCUGAUAAAUAAUUGAUUAUUUGAAAAGAAAAGCAGAUGAUUUGUAAAUAAUGAAAAACUGGGUAGAUAACAGAACUCGAAAUACUGUCUUUGUUUUUUUUUAAAAAAUAGACUUCCAACUGAAUCCCUCGCAUUGAGAGCAAAUAUUUAUGCUGAACAGUGCUAGUUUUGCUUUGACCGGUGUUGGAGGUCUGUGCUUCACUGCAGCUGCCAGACAGUAGCACACCUCCAAGGCACACCACUUACCAGAGGAGUCCCAGCAACAACGCCUGUUCCUCAGGAGAGCUGCCCAUAGUGCCUAACAGAGAUGACACUCCUCUGCUGUCCUUUAGUAAGCCUUAGGUGUUACUGUCUUAGUGCUCUAACACUGAAGUGCACUGUUUUAAGUUACCCUCUGUAAAGGUGCAAGAAACCUUUAGUGCUGCUUCUAAGUUUUCGUUUAAGUUUUCAGUCCAGCUAACAAUGCCUAAGCCUCAAAUAUAAAUGUAACCCUGAAACUACGGGAUUCAUCCAACGUAAAGGAGUGUGGAAACAACAAAUGUGGUCUAAACCAGUAACUUCUAGAGCUCACAGAGGUGCAGCCAAGUUGAGGGGAAAAUUCAUGCUGCUUUCUAGUAGGUGUCGACAUUAGAUGGGAGGAGCGCUCCUCUAGAGGAGCUCUGUUUACUUCUGCUGAUUCUAGAGGAUUACCAGGAGAUACACACAGUCAGGCUGCAGACAAACACCAGGGUGAAAACAAAAAGAAGCUGUCCUUUGGACAGGCUCCAGGAGGAAAAGCAGUCUUUUCAGCAAUUGGCAGCAAGGAACUACUCAGCUGAACUUGGCUUUUCAGGACUGCCACUCUUGACCCCCUUCAUGUAUACACACAGGAACUUUAAAAACAACUGCGCUCCAGACAACGGACACACAAGCAAAAUGCAUCUGAACUUUGGGCUCAGUGCACUACCACUAGAAAUGAAUGGAUGCUACUGAUUCCCAUGUGCAUACAGCUCACUUUUAAGCAAACAUUCAAAGAAAUAACAAAAAGCACUGCGAAACCCUCAACGUUACACACCCUCAUUGAUCAAAUUAGUCACGAUACUCACGUUUUACUGUUAUUAUACACGUUUUGCUAAAGUAAUGUUAAAACUCCCACAGACUCUGCUACAGUGCACCACAACUAAUACAUAACACACGUAGACACAAAGAAAACAAGCGGACAACCACUGGAACAGCAUACUACACCCUCAAGAAAUUAGAAAACAAAAAACAAGCUAUGGCCACUUAUGUUUAUUAGUCUGAAAAUAAACAUUAACUGUGCUUUCUAAGUGCUUUACUGAAAAUCUGAUGCAAAGAGAAAAAUGCCUGAAUGCGUCUAUGUUGCCAUUGAACUGACGAAUAGGGGGGAAAGUUACAUUGCAUA
ensembl:lncRNA